CCUACGGGAGGCAGCAGUGGGGAAAUUUGGACAAUGGGCGCAAGCCUGAUCAAGCCAUGCCGCGUGUCUGAAGAAGGCCUUCGGGUUGUAAAGGACUUUUGUCAGGGAAGAAAAGGCUGUUGCUAAUAUCGACAGCUGAUGACGGUACCUGAAGCAUAAGCACCGGCUAACUACGUGCCAGCAGCCGCGGUAAUACGUAGGGUGCGGGCGUUAAUCGGAAUUACUGGGCGUAAAGCGAGCGCAGACGGUUACUUAAGCAGGAUGUGAAAUCCCCGGGCUCAACCUGGGAACUGCGUUCUGAACUGGGUGACUAGAGUGUGUCAGAGGGAGGUAGAAUUCCACGUGUAGCAGUGAAAUGCGUAGAGAUGUGGAGGAAUACCGAUGGCGAAGGCAGCCUCCUGGGAUAACACUGACGUUCAUGCUCGAAAGCGUGGGUAGCAAACAGGAUUAGAUACCCUUGUAGUC
rnacentral:rRNA from 1 species